UACGUAGGGUGCAAGCGUUGUCCGGAAUUAUUGGGCGUAAAGAGCUCGUAGGCGGUUUGUCGCGUCUGCUGUGAAAACUCGGGGCUUAACUCCGGGCCUGCAGUGGGGUACGGGCAGACUAGAGUGUGGUAGGGGGAGACUGGAAUUCCUGGUGUAGCGGUGAAAUGCGCAGAUAUCAGGAGGAACACCGAUGGCGAAGGCAGGUCUCUGGGCCACUACUGACGCUGAGAAGCGAAAGCAUGGGGAGCGAACAGG
rnacentral:rRNA from 1 species